rnacentral:rRNA from 1 species
UACAGAGGUCUCAAGCGUUGUUCGGAUUCAUUGGGCGUAAAGAGCUCGUAGGCGGCUUGUCACGUCGGGUGUGAAAGCCCGGGGCUUAACCCCGGGUCUGCAUUCGAUACGGGCUAGCUAGAGUGUGGUAGGGGAGAUCGGAAUUCCUGGUGUAGCGGUGAAAUGCGCAGAUAUCAGGAGGAACACCGGUGGCGAAGGCGGAUCUCUGGGCCAUUACUGACGCUGAGGAGCGAAAGCGUGGGGAGCGAACAGG